CCUACGGGAAGCAGCAGUAGGGAAUCUUCCACAAUGGGCGAAAGCCUGAUGGAGCAACGCCGCGUGGGUGAAGAAGGUCUUCGGAUCGUACAACCCUGUUGUUAGAGAAGAAAGUGCGUGAGAGUAACUGUUCACGGUUCGACGGUAUCUAACCAGAAAGCCACGGCUAACUACGUGCCAGCAGCCGCGGUAAUACGUAGGUGGCAAGCGUUAUCCGGAUUUAUUGGGCGUAAAGGGAACGCAGGCGGUCUUUUAAGUCUGAUGUGAAAGCCUUCGGCUUAACCGGAGUAGUGCAUUGGAAACUGGGAGACUUGAGUGCAGAAGAGGAGAGUGGAACUCCAUGUGUAGCGGUGAAAUGCGUAGAUAUAUGGAAGAACACCAGUGGCGAAAGCGGCUCUCUGGUCUGUAACUGACGCUGAGGUUCGAAAGCGUGGGUAGCAAACAGGAUUAGAUACCCUAGUAGUC
rnacentral:rRNA from 1 species